rnacentral:rRNA from 1 species
UACGUAGGGCGCAAGCGUUAUCCGGAAUUAUUGGGCGUAAAGAGCUCGUAGGCGGUUUGUCGCGUCUGCCGUGAAAGUCCGGGGCUUAACCCCGGAUCUGCGGUGGGUACGGGCAGACUAGAGUGCAGUAGGGGAGACUGGAAUUCCUGGUGUAGCGGUGAAAUGCGCAGAUAUCAGGAGGAACACCGAUGGCGAAGGCAGGUCUCUGGGCAACAACUGACGCUGAGGAGCGAAAGCGUGGGGAGCGAACAGG